GCAUAUUCCUGAGUGAGAAAGAAGCGGCCAUGCUUAAGGAGAGAAGGUGGCCACAUGGCAGAGUGCAAGACAGCAUGAAAUAGAUGAGCUCACCAAAAGAUCGUCAGGGACCAGACCAGCAUGUGCCUGGGCUUGGAGACAGGGAGGCAUGAAAAAAUUGGAGGCUACUUCGGCAACCUUCCUCAUGUGAUCUGGACCACGAUGGUGGAAGUAGAAACGGAUGCAUGGAUAAACAGAUACAACAUUUACUGCAAUUGCCAAAGAAGCUGCCCAUCACUGUCACGCCAGCUGCACAGUCUUCACUGAGGGAGCUUCCAAGUGCCAUUUUAUUAAUGUGGAGAGAAGAAUAACAGAUCAUAAAUGUUUGAGGUCUAUCCAGCCGGAGUACAGGGGAUUAUCUAUUAUCCUGUGAGCUCGUGUUUUAUUCAUCUUCGUGUUCCCGUGAAUUAUACAGUGCAAAAACUGCUUAGAAGGCUUCCCCUCCUAGACAGCCCAACAGCACCUCAACCUCAGCCGGAAUGAAACUGAAUGUGUUACUGCGCACCCAAACAGAGCUUCUCUUCCUGCUUUCUCUCUCCUGAAUUCUUGACCAGGCGCAGUGGCUCACACCUGUAAUCCCAGCACUUUGAGAGGCCAAGGCAGGAAGAUCCCCUGAGGUCAGAAGUUCGAGACCAGCCUGGCCAACAUGGCAAAAUCCCAUCUCUACUAAAGGGAGAAUGGGAAAUGGAAAUCUGGACCUUUCUAGCCCAGAAGAGAGUAGAAGGACAAAGAGAAGCUGAAGGCAGGCAGGUCACACUGAUUCGUAACAUCUGUGUGUCAUGGUUUCCCACCUACCAGCUAUGCUGCAGAGCAGGACAUCCAAAAUGUACAUUUUCCAAGAUCCUGGUCAGAUUCUACUCAGAAGGAGCACUCACAUGUGACUUGGAAGGCAGAAGAGAAGCGGUCAUCACAGUGGUGCUCCUCUGGCAGUGAGGGGAACAUGUGGGCUUUGGCAGAUGUGCGAUUUUGGGUGAGCCGCAAGAGUUCU